rnacentral:misc_RNA from 1 species
CUGAGUUAGGGUCUUCUAGGCCCGACCUCCAACCCUCUGUCUACUGAACUAUAUGUUGCUUCGGCGAGCCCGUCUCUUGAAAUAUAGGGACCGCUGGGGGCUUAACAGCCUCUGGUCAGCGCUCGUCGAUAGCCAUUCUUAAACUCUUUUUAACUAUGUCGUCUAAGUAAAGCACUUAAUAAACAUA